CAAUAGCGUAUAUUAAAGUUGUUGCAGUUAAAAAGCUCGUAGUUGGAUUUGUGGCGUACGGUGUGUUCCGGGCACUUGUUGUCUGAGUGACCUGCUGUUGCCAUCCUUGGGUGGAACCUGUGUGGCAUUAGGUUGUCGUGCAGGGGAUGCCCAUCAUUUACUGUGAAAAAAUUAGAGUGUUCAAAGCAGGCUUAUGCCGUUGAAUAUAUUAGCAUGGAAUAAUGAGAUAGGACUUUUUUGCUAUUUUGUUGGUUUGCGCAAGAAGGUAAUGAUUAAUAGGGACAGUUGGGGGUAUUCAUAUUCCAUUGUCAGAGGUGAAAUUCUUGGAUUUUUGGAAGACGAACUACUGCGAAAGCAUUUACCAAGGAUGUUUUCAUUAA
rnacentral:rRNA from 1 species